rnacentral:misc_RNA from 1 species
GAUGAAGAACGCAGCGAAAUGCGAUAAGUAAUGUGAAUUGCAGAAUUCAGUGAAUCAUCGAAUCUUUGAACGCACAUUGCGCCCGCCAGUAUUCUGGCGGGCAUGCCUGUUCGAGCGUCAUUACAACCCUCAGGCCCCCGGGCCUGGCGUUGGGGAUCGGCGGAGCCCCCCGUGGGCACACGCCGUCCCCCAAAUGCAGUGGCGGUCCCGCCGCAGCUUCCAUCGCGUAGUAGCUAACACCUCGCGACUGGAGAGCGGCGCGGCCACGCCGUAAAACACCCAACUCUUCUGAAGUUGACCUCGAAUCAGGUAGGAAUACCCGCUGAACUUAAGCAUGUCAAUAAGCGGAGGA